rnacentral:rRNA from 1 species
UUCCGGUUGAUCCUGCCGGACCUGACUGCUAUCGGAUUGAUACUAAGCCAUGCGAGUCAUUGUAGCAAUACAAGGCAUACGGCUCAGUAACGCGUAGUCAACCUAACCUAUGGACGGGAAUAACCUCGGGAAACUGAGAAUAAUGCCCGAUAGAACACUAUACCUGGAAUGGUUUGUGUUCCAAAUGAUUUAUCGCCAUAGGAUGGGACUGCGGCCUAUCAGUUUGUUGGUGAGGUAAUGGCCCACCAAGACUAUUACAGGUACGGGCUCUGAGAGGAGUAGCCCGGAGAUGGGUACUGAGACACGGACCCAGGCCCUAUGGGGCGCAGCAGGCGAGAAAACUUUGCAAUGUGCGAAAGCACGACAAGGUUAAUCCGAGUGAUUUGUGCUAAACGAAUCUUUUGUUAGUCCUAGAAACACUAACGAAUAAGGGGUGGGCAAGUUCUGGUGUCAGCCGCCGCGGUAAAACCAGCACCUCAAGUGGUCAGGAUGAUUAUUGGGCCUAAAGCAUCCGUAGCCGGCUCUGUAAGUUUUCGGUUAAAUCUGUACGCUUAACGUACAGGCUGCCGGGAAUACUGCAGAGCUAGGGAGUGGGAGAGGUAGACGGUACUCGGUAGGAAGUGGUAAAAUGCUUUGAUCUAUCGAUGACCACCUGUGGCGAAGGCGGUCUACCAGAACACGUCCGACGGUGAGGGAUGAAAGCUGGGGGAGCAAACCGGAUUAGAUACCCGGGUAGUCCCAGCUGUAAACUAUGCAAACUCAGUGAUGCAUUGGCUUGUGGCCAAUGCAGUGCUGCAGGGAAGCCGUUAAGUUUGCCGCCUGGGAGGUACGUACGCAAGUAUGAAACUUAAAGGGAUUGGUGGGGGAGCACCACAAGGGGUGAAGCCUGCGGUUCAAUUGGAUUCAACGCCGGG